UCAGCUGCUAAGUCAUGGGUAUCCAGUGGCCCUCUGGAGCUGUCAGUGGGGAACUGAGACCUCCUGCCAAGUCAUGUGUGCCAGCCACUGUGUGAUCAGACCCCCAGCCUCCUGCAACUGCAGCCUCAGCCACAAAUCCCAAUUUGCAUACAGUUCCUAAAAGAAUAAGAGAAGUCUUCUGCUGAGGAUGACAGCAUGGAACUGAGCAUCUGUCCAUGUUACAGCCAACAGGAUGAAUAUGAGAAGCUGCCUAGAUGCUCUUGUGACCCCAUGGGCAAUACAGGAACCACUAUCACAAAGCACAUUGGUGACUGCCACCAACAAGAUCUGGAUGCAGAACGCUCAGCUACUUCUCCAGCACCAUGUAUGCCUGCUACCACGCUCCCACCAUGAUGACAAUGGACCUCU